ensembl:misc_RNA Y_RNA Y RNA
AACCAGGCAGGUAGUGAGUUACCUCAAUGGAUUGUUCAUAGUCAGUUACAGAUUGAACUCCUUGUUCUACUCUUUUUCCCUUUCUCACUAGUGCACUUAACUAGUCUAAA